AGGACGAACGCUGGCGGCGUGCUUAACACAUGCAAGUCGAGCGGAAAGGCCCUUCGGGGUACUCGAGCGGCGAACGGGUGAGUAACACGUGAGCAACCUGCCCUUAGCUCUGGGAUAGCUCCGGGAAACCGGAAUUAAUACCGGAUACGACCUAGGCCGACAUCGGCCAUGGUGGAAAGUUUUUCGGCUAGGGAUGGACUCGCGGCCUAUCAGCUAGUUGGUGGGGUAAAGGCCUACCAAGGCGACGACGGGUAGCCGGCCUGAGAGGGCGACCGGCCACACUGGGACUGAGACACGGCCCAGACUCCUACGGGAGGCAGCAGUGGGGAAUCUUGCGCAAUGGGCGAAAGCCUGACGCAGCGACGCCGCGUGGGGAUGAAGGCCUUCGGGUUGUAAACCCCUUUCAGCAGGGACGAAGCGAAAGUGACGGUACCUGCAGAAGAAGCGCCGGCUAACUACGUGCCAGCAGCCGC
rnacentral:rRNA from 1 species